GCCGGCUACGGUGGCGGCUGCGGCUCAAGCCGCGCAGGAGGUGAAAGGUGGCGGCCAAGAUGGCGGCGCACCUGAAGAAGCGGGUGUACGAGGAGUUCACCAAAGUGGUGCAGCAGCACGAGGAGCCGGCGGCCAAGAAGCUGCGCCUGGCCAAGCCCAGUAAGUCGGCGGCGCUGCACGUGGACCUGUGCAAGGCCGCCUCGGCCGCCGACGCGCUGCAGCAUCUGCUGCACUUCGCCCGCCAGCCCGUGGAGGCCGAGAGCGUCGAGGGCGUCGUCCGCAUCCUGCUCGAGCACUACUACAAGGAGAAUGAUACCUCUGUAAGAUUAAAGAUUGCUUCCUUGCUGGGCUUGCUAUCAAAAACGGCAGGAUUCUCUCCAGAUUGCAUUAUGGAUGAUGCCAUUAAUGCGCUUCAAAAUGAAAAGUCCCACCAAGUUCUUGCUCAGCUGCUGGACACGCUGCUGGUGAUUGGAACUAAACUCACAGAGAAUGCAGCUGUCAGAAUGAGACUGGUAGAUGUAGCCUGCAAGCAUCUGACAGACGCUUCCCAUGGUGUACGAAACAAGUGCCUCCAGCUAAUAGGCUAUCUUGGAUCUGUGGAAAAAGGUGUUACAAAAGAAGCAGAAAGCCAAGCUACUAAGGAUGUCCAGAAGAUAAUUGGGGACCACUUCAGUGACCAGGACCCACGUGUUAGGACUGCAGCUAUAAAAGCUAUGCUGCAGCUGCAUGAAAGAGGAUUAAAAUUGCAGCAGACUAUUUACAGCCAGGCUUGCAAACUGCUCUCAGAUGAUUAUGAACAAGUGCGCAGUGCCGCAGUUCACUUGGUAUGGGUCCUCAGUCAGCUGUAUCCAGAAAGCAUUGUCCCGAUUCCAUCUUCCAAUGAAGAAAUCCGCCUAGUGGAUGAUGCAUUUGGAAAAAUUUGUCACAUGGUCAGCGAUGGCUCAUGGGUUGUUAGAGUGCAAGCUGCUAAACUGUUGGGAUCUAUGCAGCAAGUGAGUUCCCAUUUCUUAGAACAGACGCUUGACAAGAAGCUGAUGUCUGAUCUGAGGAGGAAGCGAACUGCACAUGAACGAGCCAAAGAACUCUACAGUUCUGGGGAGUUUUCAAGUGGCAGAAAAUGGGGAGAUGAUGCCCCCAAAGAAGAAAUAGACACAGGUGCUGUGAACCUGAUUGAGUCGGGAGCUUGUGGGGCCUUUGUCCACGGCCUGGAAGAUGAGAUGUAUGAGGUUCGGAUUUCUGCAGUCGAGGCUCUCUGUAUGCUGGCUCAGUCUUCACCAUCUUUUGCAGAGAAAUGUCUUGAUUUUCUAGUAGACAUGUUUAAUGACGAGAUUGAAGAGGUGAGAUUGCAGUCAAUACAUACCAUGAGAAAGAUCUCCAACAACAUCACGCUGCGAGAAGACCAGCUUGAUACUGUGCUGGCUGUCUUGGAAGAUUCCUCCCGAGACAUUCGGGAAGCACUUCACGAGCUACUCUGUUGCACCAAUGUUUCUACGAAAGAAGGCAUCCACCUUGCACUUGUGGAGCUACUGAAAAACCUAACUAAGUAUCCUACUGACAGAGAGUCCAUUUGGAAAUGCUUGAAGUUCUUGGGAAGCAGACAUCCAACUCUGGUGCUUCCACUGGUCCCAGAGCUGCUGAGUACGCACCCAUUUUUUGACACGCCAGAGCCAGAUAUGGAUGACCCAGCCUAUAUUGCUGUUCUUGUCCUCAUUUUUAAUGCUGCUAAAACUUGCCCAACAAUGCCAGCGUUAUUCUCAGAUCACACCUUUAGGCACUAUGCCUAUCUUCGUGACAGUCUCUCCCAUCUUGUCCCUCCAUUGAGAUUACCAGAUAGAAAGCUGGUGUCCUCCCCUGUGUCCCAGAGCCUUACACCGCAUGAAGAUCCUUCCCAGCAGUUCUUGCAGCAGAGUCUUGAGCGAGUUUACAAUCUUCAGCACUUGGACCCACAGGGCACACAGGAACUGCUCGAAUUCACCAUACGUGACCUCCAGAGGCUUGGAGAACUGCAGUCAGAACUGGCAGGGGUGGCAGACUUCACUGCAACUUACCUUCGGUGUCAGCUGCUUCUCAUCAAGGCCCUUCAGGAAAAACUGUGGAACGUGGCUGCUCCUCUGUACCUGAAGCAGAAUGCAUUGGCAUCAGCAGCAGCAAGACAGAUUAUGGAAGAAACUUAUAAAAUGGAGUUCAUGUACAGUGGAGUAGAAAAUAGACAAGUGGUCAUUAUUCAUCACAUGAGACUGCAAGCAAAAGCGUUACAGCUUAUAGUGACUGCACGUACCACAAGAGGAGUGGAACCCCUUUUUGGGAUGUGUGAAAAGUUUUUACAGGAGGUGGACUCUUUUCAGAGAUGUUUUAUCUCUGAGCUCCCCCACAUGCAAGGCAGUUUUGUGGAUAAGCUGCUAGACCUGAUGCCCAGGCUUGUGACCUCCAAGCCUUCAGAAGUGGUAAAAAUCCUGCAAACAACGCUACGACAAAGUGCCUUCCUUCACCUUCCUCUGCCAGAGCAGCUCCAUAAAGCUUCUGCAAACAUCAUUGAACCUACUGGUGAAUCUGAUAACCCUCUGAGGUUCACAUCAGGGUUAGUUGUGGCUUUGGAUGUUGAUUCAACUCUGGAACAUGUGCAGGAUCCUCAGAGCACAGUUAAAGUUCAGGUAUUAUAUCCAGAUGGGCAGGCACAGUUAAUUCAUCCUAAACCAGCGGACUUUCGAAAUCCUGGUCCUGGAAGGCACAGGUUGAUCACUCAAGUUUACCUUUCGCACACUGCCUGGACAGAGCCAUGUCAGAUUGAAGUGAGGUUACUACUGGCAUACAAUUCCAGUAGGAGCAAAGCUUCCACUAAAAUCUCCAAAUCCACGUGGAGCGACAGCAUGGACGCUUUUCCACAGUCUGAAAGUGGCAUUGAAGGAACUAUCCCAUUCAGCAAACCAGUCAAAGUGUAUAUAAUGCCCAAACCUGCCAGACGGUGAAGUCAAUUGCUAAAAGACUUUAUCUGUGGGAUUGCUGGGUUACGUGUACACAGAUUAUUGUAUUGCAAGAUAGUGGAUCAAACCAUAAUAGUGUUCUGUUAAAGUGAAAGACUGCAAAACGCAAUGAAGAAUACAGCUAUGAAAGAAUAAGUGGCCUCCUUUAUUAAAAGACUGGUUACAGCAUAAGUUAUGAAUAGGUACCAUGAACACAGGCAUUUCUAAAUCAAAUCAAGAAAAGUGAGACACUUAAUGUUGACGUUCCAUCCAUUACUCUUUUUAUUGGGUCAAAUUCUGCAGUCCUGAGUUCCUCCUCUAGGAAAGAUCUCCUGUAGAGGCCACUGGGAGUUUUGCCUAAGUGAGGAUUUGGUAAAACUGGCAGUGUUUACUAUGUAAAUACUUAGUAAGGCAUUAUAGAUGCUUAUUAUGGUUUAAUGAUGAUCUGAAAUAGAGCAGAUUUUUUUGGAAUGUCUAAAAUGUGUAUUGGUCUUUCAGCGCUGGGUAAAGAUUUUUUUCCUACAGCACUGCUGUAUCUGGGUAGGAGCCACUUCUCAAAAUGCAACACUGGGCUGUUCCUGGGCUGGCUUAUGCCUUUGCCGCCAUAUUGAAGGCAGUGAAUGAUUGAUGCCUCUUGCCACUCCAAAGUUUUUGGUGCCUUGGCUGUUUUAAAGAAAAACAAAAAAUCCAAACAACCCUUUUGCAAACCUGGAGGCUUUCUGUUUCAGGGUAGGCUCCUUACCUGAGAACAAUGGUAAUGCAACACCCGUGUAAAAUCACUGAGUUGCCUCUGCAUAUAAUGAAGAAGAUGCUCUAUAUUUUUACCUUGUCAUUGUUAACACUCCUUCUUACUUGCUUUCUGUACGUCUCUGUGAAGAAUGUGUGCAGUGGCACAGGCAAAAAAAACCCCAACCAGCUAGCUGUCCUGUCAGUAAGACGCAGGUUCUUCUGCUGCUGUGCUGUGCUCUGGAGCUGAAGCAGAUCUUGUUGUGGCAUGAUAAAUGGUCUUUCAGGAUAUACAGUUCUGAAUCAGUUCAGUAGUGCUCUCUCUCUAUUAAAUUAGUGAGAUCAGUAGUCCAGGCUUAUUAUCAGGUGGGAAGAAGGGGCAGUUAGGGAUGAAAUGAAAGGAACAAGGAGCCUUGCCUAGAGGAUAGGCACCAUGGCAUCCUUCCACUGGAGCAGAAUGACUGUUCCUGUCUAGUGGCCUCAGACUCCGGAGGGGUUGUUCUUGCCCAAGUUCUGUUGCUUCUGGAGCUUCAGCUGAGAAGGUAUAUCUUGACACCGCUCCCCAGCACAGGCUUGUGUUUCAAAGGCCUGUAGGAGCACCCUGUGACCCCCUAGCAGCCUGUAAUACAAUUUACUAGAAAUGCAUGGUAUAUGAAUUUUUCCAGCACAAUGGCCAAAUAUUCCCUGUGUUCAUAAAUUAUUUGUAAAAAAGUAUAUUUGCAGCAGGUAAGUCAGAUAGCUGAGGAUGAUAGUAAAUCCUUCCAUUCACUUGUAUAGAGACUAGCAUAACACAUUAUGCAUAAACCCUUUUAAAUGUGCUUUUGUACAAUAAACUUGGAAAACGCCAA